GGCUCCAGCGCGUACUGGCCCGGAACCGGCACAGCACCAGACUGGACACACUCCGUGCCAAAGCCGGCACAGUCCCACCCUCUCCUGACGGCCGCGGAAGUGAUCAUGCCUGUCGGAUCUGCUACUCCCAGGCCAGAGGUUCUCCCGAUCCCAUCAGCGGCUCACACCUGAUGUGCUGGGACAUUCCCCGCAGGAGGCCCAUAGAGACCUGCAUAUCAGGACCUCCCAACACCCCUGCAACAUUCCCCAUGGCAUCAGGUGUUGCUGAACUACCCUUACACCUCCACUUCUGGGACAUUAAAGACAGUCCCAGCUUCCCAUGUCUUUCACAGCAAGCUAGGCUCCAGAGAAUCAUCAGGUUCCCUGUGGCUCCUCCUGUGGCUCUGCAAAUACUGGAGGAUCAGGUGGCCCGUGCACGCAACACUCAUCACAAUAGUGCAGAGCUGUGCAAGAUCCAUGCUUCUGUCACAGAUGGCAGACAGUGAGGAGGGACGUUCAGGUUUGUGCAGUUACAGGACCUCUCAUUUGCACUGAGAGAGUGAGAAGAGAGAUUUGCUUAAUUGUCCCUCCCACAAAGCCACCAAGACAACUCUCCUAAAAGGGGAGUAUGGCUGGAAGUAGUGCACACCAGCCCCCUCUAGUUGCAGCGUGAUUUAUGGCUCUACAGCAACCCCUCUGAUUGAUUCAGGAGCAGCAUCUGUGACAAGGUCAACUCCCAGACUGCUGUACUGGGCAGCACAGUAUAGGGAGAUGGUGAGCAGCCCUCAGUGGUGAAAGAACAGGUUAAGGACUAAUUAGAAAAGCUGGACAUGCUCAGGUCUAUGGGGCUCGAUGCAAUGCAUUGGAGGGUGCUGAGAGAGUUGGCCGAUGUGAUUGCAGAGCCAUGGGCCAUGAUAUUUGAACACUUGUGGCAAUCGGGGGAGGUCCCGGGCAAUUGGAAAAAGGCAAAUAUAGUACCCAACUUUAAAAAAGGGAAGAAGGAGAAUCCAGGGAACUACAGAUCAGUCAGCCUCACCUCUGUCCCCAGAAAAAUCAUGGAGCAGGUCCUCAAGGAAUCCAUUUUGAAGCACUUGGAGAAGAGGAAGGUGAUCAGGACAGUUAACAUGGAUUCAUCAAGGGCAAGUCAUGCCUGACCAACCUGAUUGCCUUCUAUGAGGAGGUAACUGGCUCUGUGGAUAUGGGGAAAGCGGUGCGCAUGAUAUACCUUGACCUUAGCAAUGCUUUUGAUACUAUCUCCCACAGUAUUCUUGCCAGCAAGUUAAAGAAGUAUGGAUUGGAUGAAUGGACUAUUAGGUGGUAUAGCGGGGCGACCACCUGCUCCACCUUGAAAAGGCUUAAAACAGCCCAGGAGGAGGGUUGUGGCUGGGAGCUACUAAGCUGGGCUGAUUGGGAAGUGGCUGCAGCUGGGCUACGCCCCAGUCAGGCCACAGCUGGCCAGUAUAAAGAGGCUGGAAGCCUCUUGUAGAGGGAGAAGGGCCUGGCUGCAGGCAGCUAGACACAUGGUACCUGAGUGAAGCAGGGCUGGGAGAAAGGCUGGGGAGCUCCAGCCUGGAAAGACCCAGGCUGCAGCCUAGCAUUGGGCUAAAAUGUACUGGGGGUUGCAGAGGGCAGCCCAGGGGUAGGCCAAGGCAGCAGGUCCAAACCCAACCUUGCCAGUGAUGGGUUGGCUGAUACUGCAGUCUGCCCCAGGGCGCAGGGGGCUAGAUGAUGACUGGCAGUAGCCAUAUACUGAGGUAAGGUGGAGAUAGUGGGUGUGGGUUCCCUGGGGAGGAAGGAUGGUGUUCCCAGUGGUGCAGAUGACAGAACAAGGAAUAAGGGUCUCAAGUUACAGUGGGGCAGGUCUAGGUUGGAUAUUAGGAAACACUAUUUCACUAGGAGGGUGGUGAAGCACUGGAAUGGGUUACCUAGGGAGGUGGUGGAAUCUCCUUCCUUAGAGGUUUUUACAGUCAGGCUUGACAAAGCCCUGGCUGGGAUGAUUUAGUUGGGAAUUGGUCCUGCUUUGAGUAGGGGAUUGUACUGGAUUACCUCCUAAGUCCCUUCCAACCCUGAUAUUCUAUGAUUCUUUGGGGCACUCCUAGAUAAUUAAUAUGUAUGGAUAUGGUGUAUAUAUUUGCAUGUUACAUAUGGGUAUAUAUGCAUACUAUCUAUGUGUACAUAUGACAGCACUUUAUGUCCAAGCUUAACAAUCCUUUUCCAGUCUGGGUACUGUAGUUUGGCCCUCGUGGUACUGCAGAUAGCAACACAUUGCUGUUAGGGCAAUUACAGUUACAACCUGUAUUAUUACUGGUAGUAGGCUGAGUGUUCUGAAAUACUGGGAUAGACAUUACUAAAGUGUGUCCCACCGUGCUAUGUAUAUGAGAAGUAAAACAGAAAUUUGCUUUUGUUGCAACAAAAUUAAAAUAAUGAUGUCACACAACAUACAAUACAGGUGACAUACAGGACAAACUUACAAUUAAGAACAAAUGGUGCUAGAAUUCUAUUUAUAACUAUAUAAAACAAGGCAAUAACUAAAAUAAAAAAGGGUUAAAUAUUUUAAAAAGCAAGUUAUUACCUUUUAUUUAAAACUUUUUAAAAUAAAAAUUGAUAAAAAUCCAUAUGAACAUUUUCCAAAUUUGUUGUAUCAAUGUAGUAACUUAAGGCAUUUUCCAUUACUUUAUAUUAAACUUUAUUUUAAAACUCUGCUAUAUGGAAAUAAGAAAAGCCCAUGUUUCAAAUAUUACUCAGUGGUUAGGAUUAGAAGCAGAGUCUGCAUUUCUGUUGCUUGGCAACCAUAUCUUCAAGAAAAUUAGGCAUAAUUUCAGCUGUUGCAUUUCUGAAGGGUUAAAAUAAUUAAU